UUGUUAUUAAGUUUUUUCUUUUUCACAACCAAACAUACACACUCCAUAUGAAACCAAGAGGAUGAUUUAGCAUUCUGUAAAUAAAACAAAACACAGAACAAAGAUAGUGGGAGAGCAUCAUAUCAUACAACCAGUUUAUACAUUUACCUACAUAAGUGUCCAUAUAGACUUUGUGGGUGUAUGGAUGAGGAGAUUUUAGCCAUUUCAUCGAACCAUUCCUUUACUGGGACUUCUCCUGUGGUUUUCCAGUGCCUCAGCACUGUCCUGCAGCCAAUGAGGAGUGCUAUCCUGAACCAUGAAAUUUGGUGGGCAUUCAGCCGACACUCCUUCGGUAUUAUGCCCAAUAUGCAGUGCAUAGGUCCCAGAACCAAUGCAGAGGACGUGAUUUUGCUAAUAAAGGAAACAAUCUUAGACGAUAGCACAUCUAUCCUAGGGCACAAGUACAACAUGUGUAAGAGAGUGCCCCAGGUUGUAUCGCAUCGCCAGCAUAGGUCAGAGUUUCUAAGUCCCAGUCUUGCCAUUUUAGUUGGAGUCCAAUAAAUCCUAUUUAUUAUUUUGUAAA